rnacentral:rRNA from 1 species
GAUGAACGCUGGCGGCGUGCCUAAUACAUGCAAGUCGAGCGAACAGACGAGGAGCUUGCUCCUCUGACGUUAGCGGCGGACGGGUGAGUAACACGUGGAUAACCUACCUAUAAGACUGGGAUAACUUCGGGAAACCGGAGCUAAUACCGGAUAAUAUAUUGAACCGCAUGGUUCAAUAGUGAAAGACGGUUUUGCUGUCACUUAUAGAUGGAUCCGCGCCGCAUUAGCUAGUUGGUAAGGUAACGGCUUACCAAGGCAACGAUGCGUAGCCGACCUGAGAGGGUGAUCGGCCACACUGGAACUGAGACACGGUCCAGACUCCUACGGGAGGCAGCAGUAGGGAAUCUUCCGCAAUGGGCGAAAGCCUGACGGAGCAACGCCGCGUGAGUGAUGAAGGUCUUCGGAUCGUAAAACUCUGUUAUUAGGGAAGAACAAAUGUGUAAGUAACUAUGCACGUCUUGACGGUAGCUAAUCAGAAAGCCACGGCUAACUACGUGC